AGAAUUUGGAGCUACAAAUCAAGAAGAGCACAUUGAAAUCGCAGAUUUUGGAUGCUAACAUAAGGGAUUUCGAACCAGGACAAGGGCAAGAGCCUUCUCUUCAUCAACUCAUUUGGUGUGAGAGAAACUUACAACUCUCUCUCGAAAGAGUCAAGGCUAGAAAAAUGGAAUUGGAGAAACAAGAAAAGAUGGAUGUUCACUUUGUUGCACAACAAACAGCUCCUCACCAGUUUGAUACUAAUAAUUGGAUUAAUCCAUACAGUUCAGGUAUCCGGGAGAGCAUAUAUCAUAAUUGGAUGAAUGAGGGGAAGGGAAUAGCAAAUAGUUCUGGCAAUUACGCAUAUACCCCUUCCUUUGCAAGUUCUUCAAAAAAUGGGAAUAUACCAUUUUUUCAAAGCCAAAACUCAUCACCUUAUAUCCCG